GUGAAUGCGAUGAGCGGGAAGAGUAGCUGUGGCGGAACCUUUCGAGCGAGCCGGUGAGGGUGGAAGACUGGCAAGGAAGCAACAGUGAAUGGGCCCGGGAGCAGCCAUCCGAACGGUGUAGUAGGCAUGGACGGACUCUUCCUCCGUUAUCCGGGAAGGCAUAUCGGACAUUUGAUGUCCCGUAUGGCUGAGUGAGGCCUUUCAAGCCUAAAUGGGGUGGCACCGCGGAGUUCCCUUCGUCCCUUUG
rnacentral:ncRNA from 1 species